UGGAUUUCUCAAGAAUAAAUCCUGCCGGACUAAUCUCAUUUUUUGACUGCGUAACCUCCCAAAUGGUCAAAGUGAACACUUUGGA